rnacentral:rRNA from 1 species
GGGGAAUAUUGGGCAAUGGGCGCAAGCCUGACCCAGCAACGCCGCGUGAAGGAAGAAGGCUUUCGGGUUGUAAACUUCUUUUAAGAGGGAAGAGCAGAAGACGGUACCUCUAGAAUAAGCCACGGCUAACUACGUGCCAGCAGCCGCGGUAAUACGUAGGUGGCAAGCGUUGUCCGGAUUUACUGGGUGUAAAGGGCGUGCAGCCGGGUCUGCAAGUCAGAUGUGAAAUCCAUGGGCUCAACCCAUGAACUGCAUUUGAAACUGUAGAUCUUGAGUGUCGGAGGGGCAAUCGGAAUUCUUAGUGUAGCGGUGAAAUGCGUAGAUAUUAGGAGGAACACCAGUGGCGAAGGCGGAUUGCUGGACGAUAACUGACGGUGAGGCGCGAAAGUGUGGGGAGCAAACAGGAUUAGAUACCCUGGUAGUCCACGCUGUAAACGAUGGAUACUAGGUGUGCGGGGACUGACCCCCUGCGUGCCGCAGUUAACACAAUAAGUAUCCCACCUGGGGAGUACGAUCGCAAGGUUGAAACUCAAAGGAAUUGACGGGGGCCCGCACAAGCGGUGGAUUAUGUGGUUUAAUUCGAAGCAACGCGAAGAACCUUACCAGGGCUUGACAUCCUACUAACGAAGUAGAGAUACAUUAGGUGCCCUUCGGGGAAAGUAGAGACAGGUGGUGCAUGGUUGUCGUCAGCUCGUGUCGUGAGAUGUUGGGUUAAGUCCCGCAACGAGCGCAACCCCUAUUGUUAGUUGCUACGCAAGAGCACUCUAGCGAGACUGCCGUUGACAAAACGGAGGAAGGUGGGGACGACGUCAAAUCAUCAUGCCCCUUAUGUCCUGGGCUACACACGUAAUACAAUGGCGGUCAACAGAGGGAGGCAAAGCCGCGAGGCAGAGCAAACCCCCAAAAGCCGUCCCAGUUCGGAUCGCAGGCUGCAACCCGCCUGCGUGAAGUCGGAAUCGCUAGUAAUCGCGGAUCAGAAUGCCGCGGUGAAUACGUUCCCG